rnacentral:rRNA from 1 species
UGAGGAAUAUUGGUCAAUGGCCGUAAGGCUGAACCAGCCAAGUCGCGUGAGGGAGGACGGCCCUACGGGUUGUAAACCUCUUUUGUCAGGGAGCAAGGGACAGGUCGUGACCUGUUGUGAGAGUACCUGAAGAAAAAGCAUCGGCUAACUCCGUGCCAGCAGCCGCGGUAAUACGGAGGAUGCGAGCGUUAUCCGGAUUUAUUGGGUUUAAAGGGUGCGCAGGCGGAGGCACAAGUCAGCGGUAAAAUCGCGGGGCUCAACCCCGCUCCGCCGUUGAAACUGUGUCCCUUGAGUGCGCGAAGG